rnacentral:hammerhead_ribozyme from 1 species
GCACUAUUGAAGAGUCCCACAAUAGGACGAAACGGCAGUCCAAUGC